rnacentral:SRP_RNA from 2 species
GCUGGGUAUGGUGGCGUGUGCCUGUAGUCCCAGCUACUUGGGAGGCUGAAGCAGGAGAAUCACUUGAACCUGGGAGGCAGAGGUUGCAGUGAGCUGAGAUCGCUGCCACUGCACUCCAGCCUGGGUGACAGAGUGAGAUUCUGUCUCAA